GGUGCCUAUCUUUCAAUUUAUACCCAUCUAUGUCUCCAUUUAAAUAUUCCCUCUCUUCUCCCAGCAGAUGCUGUGUGCAAUUGCAAUCCAGGAUUGUAUAAGCAGUAUUCUUUCCUUAUGAUUUCUAUUUGUAGAUCUUUAUGCUCCCUUCUCUGCCUUCUUCCGAGCUGUAGAAUUGGCAUCUUUCCCUGAGGUUUUCCGAAUGGCAAGUGGCACCGGCUGUGGCAUGUAUUCAUGCCGCUUCCUAUGGCAUUUCUCUUCCGAUGUCUGCUUUUUCUCUUUGUUUGUUGUUGACUAGGCUGAAUGGUGAGUUGUUUUUUUUUUUAAGUUAAUUAUAAACGAAGUUGAAUAGCAAACAAACCAACAGCUUGCCCAAAAAGAAAAAAAAAGAAAAGAAAAGAAAAAGAAAUAGCCCCACACAAGCGCCUUCUGCUGCAACAGAUGCCCAGAUCACCCCUGGCAUGGGCAAAUGGGCACCCGAUUUUGGUGGUUGUUAAUUUUUUCUGUUUGUUGCUGUAUUUGUUGUUUGUUUUCCUUGUUUCCUUUUGAUUUUUCAAGGAGUCCAAGAUCCUGGCCUCUGCUUGGAACGGAACAGUGUCAUGGCGGAGACGACGGCCUUUGUCUUGCUGGGUGUGAAAGCAUCCGCUGUGCUGGCUCCACUGCGGCAGAAUCAAGUUUAAAGGAAGAAAGCUCAACCACAGGAAUUACCUCUUGGAGUCUCCCCACAAGUACAGUGUUGCCGACCUCCAGCAGGUGAGACUGCCUUUCUCUACCCCAGAGGGGCCUCAUUCCUGGAGACAUCAGACGGGAGGGGUGGCUGCAGCUUUUCAGCACCUCAGACUAUGUGUCUGGCUGUCCCAGGAUUCCUGGGCGGUGACUGAGCGCCAGCCCCCUGCAGUUAGCAGGCAGUCCAGCAAAGCCUGGGGAACAGGAGCGCCUUGGCCCCUUCCCUGCCUCUGGCCUCGUCCCCAGCUAGAGGGCAGCAGGAGGAGAGGCCCCAGGCCUGAAAGUUGAGGACAUUCCUUCCUUCAGGGAGGGCACUGUGGAUUUGGGUCUCAUCCUUAAGCCGGUUACCCCCAGUGACCUCCAUGUGGGG
rnacentral:lncRNA from 1 species